rnacentral:miRNA from 1 species
UCACCGGGUAGACAUUAAUCAU